AGCUAUUGGGAUGUAGAGGGUUACUGAUCAAAAGUCCAUAAACUUAUGUGUAUAUAUAAUAUCUGAGCAAAAAUCAAUCCUGACAUGUCAUCUAGUUUUGCCUUCCAGUUUACGCUGUGUGCACUUAUUAUUCUCCAAGGGCACAGUGAUGUGACAACUAUAAAUGGGACCCUGGGUAGUGUUGUUACAUUUCACCUCGGUUAUCCUGACUUCGAACACCCUGCUGAGAUCAUCUGGAAGAAGGGAAAUACUUUGUUAUAUAACAGGACAUAUCCUAUGAAUAGGUUUACUGUCUUUUCUAAUGGAACCUCAGCACUUAAGAAUACAGGGAAAGAUGAUGGAGGACAAUACACAGUGAGUGUGUAUAAUAUAACUGGAAACCUUGUCUACCAAAGAAAUUUUCAACUAUACAUACAUGAGCCAACCCAAAUCCCAGCUCAUGUCUCCGGCCAAAUUAAUGAGGGAGGAGAAUUACCUUGCGAGAGGGCUAACCAUUCCAGUCUCCGCUUUCGUUGGACGCUGAAUGGACAAUCUGUGGAACUGACUGAGACUGAGGAUGAUGGCAAGGGGAUUAUUUUGGCGAAAGAGGUGACUGGAAAGCUUGACUGUCAGAUUCACCAUAAAAACAGCAUCAAUGAGUGUUCCGUCAUAGAACUGGACUGUAAGAA